rnacentral:sRNA from 1 species
GUGUCACUGUGGACAUGGGCUUUGAGACCCUCUUUCUAGCCAGGUAGGAACCAGUCAUCUCCUGCUUGCCUUUGAAAUAAGAUACCACAAUUUCAACUCCUCCAGGACCAUGAUUUCUGCUUUGAUGAUAAUGGAUUGAACUCCUGAACCUUUAAAGCAAGCCCCAAUUAAAUGCUGUCCUUUAAAAUAUUCACCUAGGUCAUGGUGUCUCUUCACAGUAAUGAAAACCCUAACUAAGACAAUGGUGUAGUAAGUGCUGCUUUCACAAAGAUUAGUUCUCAAAAUGGAGCAACAUGUCCCAUUGGAGGCCUUCAGAGGUUUGUAGUUCAAGACAUUGGAACUACUCGUGGUUUUGUUGAGCAGAAACGGAUAGGAAAAAAAAACAUGACGCAUACUGCUAUCCCUGGAAUUUCAAAACUCUCUCACACAUGUGACUUCAUAUGAUUGAAGCUAAGAUGGAUAUUGGCAUUUCACUGACUUCAGUACUAACUAUAGGGUCUGAAACAGACCUGAAGAAGACCCUUUUAAUAUCUUGUUUUACAGGGAACAAAUACAAAAUAUUAAAAAGUACCCAAGAAUCAAGUAUGGAGAAAGUCUGGUAACAACAGAUCCAGGAGACAUGGGCUAAAUGUUUCUUUAUCUCUUUAACUUUUCAUAAAAACAGUUCACUAUGAGCUGUUGGCUCCUGGAGAAGACUGGCAAGUAUAGUCAGCAAAACUGACUCUAUUGGAUGCUUUACCAUAGAACAUGGGGACUUCAGUUCAAUAAAUGAUUUAUGCCAUU